AAUCUGUUGGUAUUUUUGAUAUAAUAUUUCUUGAACAGCUUUUCCCGCGAUUCCUGCUACGUGUGCACCGAGACUGUGACCCACGAUUAAGGUAUAUAACAUGUGAAUAUAAACGGAAAUACUUAGUCAGAUGUUCGCUGACAACGUGAAUAUUGUUAACAGCACUAUUAUAAGCGAGCAAGUCGGACAGACUGAAUCCAUCGCUACAGGCAGCGUUUGACCAAUCUAAUGAAAAAAUAUUGAUGUCUUCCUAAAGAAUUUGGCUUCAGAAAUAAAACCGUGUAUAAGGAACACCACCUUUUUGUUAGCACGUAAUGGGAUAUAUUCAUCUUGUAAACGAACUUCUUCUCCAUAUGGUUUUUCUCUAUGACAUGGAUUGACACAGAAAAAAGUAAUUCAAUUAUAUUCAAAAUUUGACUAUAUUAUUUUGUGCAUAAUAAAUUUACCUUGUGUACAAAUAAUAUGAUACCGAUUCCACUCCGAAAACGCACGAUGGAAUUAUGUCGGUAAUAAUAUUAUUUUC